GACGAAGGGGGCUAGCGUUGUUCGGAAUUACUGGGCGUAAAGCGCGUGUAGGCGGUUGCCCAAGUCGGGUGUGAAAGCCUUGAGCUCAACUCAAGAAAUGCACUCGGUACUGGGUGACUAGAGGACCGGAGAGGAUAGUGGAAUUCCCAGUGUAGUGGUGAAAUACGUAGAGAUCAGGAGGAACACCCGUGGCGAAGGCGGCCUUCUGGGUCCGCCCUGACGCU
rnacentral:rRNA from 1 species